AUGGAGACAAAUGCCCCGCCUCGCUCGGACCUGGGCCAAGCGCUCGCGCCCCUCCGACCAGGUGACUGCUGGAGCUUCCGCUCCGCUUCCCCACCGCUGCGCCCCGUGGCAGCCAACAACAAAAAAGAGCUCCUGAAUGGGUUGAAUCUCUUGCCCUGUGGCUCCCCACUGGCAGUGGCAUCCUCAACUUCUUUGUGUACUUCUGGACCAACAGGAGGUUUCGGAAGAAAUUCCAGCACAUCAGGCACCAGCUGUGCAGGCCAUGCCACUGAGCCAGGAAGCCGCGCUGUUCUCCCAGCAUCAGUGGUGCUGUGCAACAGAAGCCUCCCCCCACAGUGGAUCUGCCCACCCUCUCCCUCCCUUCUUGUGUGUAAAUCUGGUAACCUCUGUACAAGGUCCACCUCUGCAGAGCAGACCUUUGAGAAAUGCUUGAGCUGUCAGGAAGAAUUUCAGGAAACAGACACACCAGAUAAUGACAAAUAAUCCAAAUAGCUUUAGAUGAUUUGUGGUAGCUGAAAUUGCACUUAUGCCUUUGGUUACCACAACUGUUUCUCCACUAGAGUACUUUUCUGAUGGGAAGUGGCUCUCUGCAUGUAAACGGAGAGGCCAAGUUGCAGAGGUGUUGUGUCUUCCCUCUCUUUGCCCCUCCAAGGCAUGUCCAGGGUGCUGUAGGCUGUGAGCUGAAAACAAAACAACCCUUGAGGUUGGCGUCUUAGAGCAAUGGGCAGGAAAACUGUGCCCAUGGGACUGAUGGGGGGGACAUCUGAAAUGCAGCUGAAACUCUGAAAUGUUGGAUUUUCACUCCGGAAUAUUACUUCUGCCACUUCUCUGCACCUUUCCUUUCUCAUAUGCACACUUAGGCAACCAUCUCAUUCCAGAAGACUGUAGAAAACUGUUUCAGCAGUCAAGAUAGUUUUUUUAAAGGGUUAAAACAUGUAAGGCGACAAUGAUUUUAAAGUCCUUUUAAUGGCCAGCCUCUGGUUAUCUAACAUGAAUUUUUAGAGUACAUAAGAACAUAAGAGGAGCCUUGCUGGAUCAGGCCACGGCCCAUCUAGUCCAGCAUUCUGUUCCACACAGUGGCCCACCAGUUGCUGCUGGGCAUUCUCAAGCAGAAGAUAAAGGCAAAACCUUCACCUGCUCUUGACUCCCCGCAAUUGGUUUUACAGACAUCCUGCUUGUCUUUCCAACCUGGAGGCAGUACCUAGGCAUCCAUUCUAGUAGCCAUUGAUACACCUGACCUCCAUGAAUCUGUCCAAUCCCUUCUUAAAGCUGUCCAGGCUGAUGGCUGUCACCACCUCAUCUGGUAAUAAAUUCCACAGACCGACAACUCUCUGGGUAAAA
rnacentral:lncRNA from 1 species